AGCGAACGCUGGCGGCAGGCUUAACACAUGCAAGUCGAGCGGGCAUCCUUGUGGUGUCAGCGGCAGACGGGUGAGUAACGCGUGGGAACGUGCCCUUCGGUUCGGAAUAACUCAGGGAAACUUGAGCUAAUACCGGAUACGUGCGAGAGCAGAAAGGUUUAUCUGCCGAAGGAUCGGCCCGCGUCUGAUUAGCUAGUUGGUGAGGUUACGGCUCACCAAGGCGACGAUCAGUAGCUGGUCUGAGAGGAUGAUCAGCCACACUGGGACUGAGACACGGCCCAGACUCCUACGGGAGGCAGCAGUGGGGAAUAUUGGACAAUGGGGGCAACCCUGAUCCAGCCAUGCCGCGUGAGUGAUGACGGCCUUAGGGUUGUAAAGCUCCUUUCUCCGGGACGAUAAUGACGGUACCGGAGGAAUAAGCCCCGGCUAACUUCGUG
rnacentral:rRNA from 1 species